UACGGCCAUAUUAUGUUGAAACACCAGUUCCCUUAUGAUCACCAAAAUUAAGCAAUAUUGAGUAUGGUCACUACUUAGAUGGGUAACUGCUUGAGAAUGCCAGGUGCUGUAAG